rnacentral:tRNA from 7 species
GGGGCCGUAGCUCAGUUGGUAGAGCGCGUCGUUCGCAAUGACGAGGCCGUGAGUUCGAACCUCAUCGGCUCCACCA